rnacentral:rRNA from 1 species
CCUACGGGUGGCAGCAGUGGGGCAUAUUGCACAAUGGGGGAAACCCUGAUGCAGCGACGCCGCGUGAGUGAAGAAGUAUUUCGGUAUGUAAAGCUCUAUCAGCAGGGAAGAAGAAAGACGGUACCUGACUAAGAAGCCGCGGCUAACUACGUGCCAGCAGCCGCGGUAAUACGUAGGGGGCAAGCGUUAUCCGGAUUUACUGGGUGUAAAGGGAGCGUAGACGGCUGUGCAAGUCUGAAGUGAAAGCCCGGGGCCCAACCCCGGGACUGCUCUUGGAACUGCGUGGCUAGAGUGCAGGAGGGGCAGGCGGAAUUCCUGGUGUAGCGGUGAAAUGCGUAGAUAUCAGGAGGAACACCGGUGGCGAAGGCGGCCUGCUGGACUGCAACUGACGUUGAGGCCCGAAAGCGUGGGGAGCAAACAGGAUUAGAUACCCCUGUAGUC